GACGAACGCUGGCGGCGUGCUUAACACAUGCAAGUCGAACGGUAAGGCCCUUCGGGGUACACGAGUGGCGAACGGGUGAGUACCACGUGGGUGAUCUGCCCUGAACUUCGGGAUAAGCCUGGGAAACUGGGCCUAAUACAGGAUAGGACCUCUGCAUGCAUGGGUGGGCGUGGAAAGCUUUUGCGGGGUGGGAUGGGCCCGCGGCCUAUCAGCUUGUUGGUGAGGUGAUGGCCUACCAAGGCGACGACGGGCAGCCGGCCUGAGGGGGUGACCGGCCACACUGGGACUGAGAUACGGCCCAGACUCCUACGGGAGGCAGCAGUGGGGAAUAUUGCACAAUGGGCGCAAGCCUGAUGCAGCGACGCCGCGUGAGGGAUGACGGACUUCGGGUUGUAAACCUCUUUCAGCACCGACGAAGCGCAAGUGACGGUAGGUGCAGAAGAAGGACCGGCCAACUACGUGCCAGCCGCCGCGGUAA
rnacentral:rRNA from 1 species